rnacentral:rRNA from 1 species
AUUGAACGCUGGCGGCAGGCCUAACACAUGCAAGUCGAACGGUAACAGGAAGCAGCUUGCUGCUUUGCUGACGAGUGGCGGACGGGUGAGUAAUGUCUGGGAAACUGCCUGAUGGAGGGGGAUAACUACUGGAAACGGUAGCUAAUACCGCAUAACGUCGCAAGACCAAAGAGGGGGACCUUAGGGCCUCUUGCCAUCGGAUGUGCCCAGAUGGGAUUAGCUAGUAGGUGGGGUAACGGCUCACCUAGGCGACGAUCCCUAGCUGGUCUGAGAGGAUGACCAGCCACACUGGAACUGAGACACGGUCCAGACUCCUACGGGAGGCAGCAGUGGGGAAUAUUGCACAAUGGGCGCAAGCCUGAUGCAGCCAUGCCGCGUGUAUGAAGAAGGCCUUCGGGUUGUAAAGUACUUUCAGCAGGGAGGAAGGGAGUAAAGUUAAUACCUUUGCUCAUUGACGUUACCCGCAGAAGAAGCACCGGCUAACUCCGUG